AUUCUCCAUGAAUUCGAACCUCAGCCUUCUCAACUAUAGAAGAACAAGAGAAAACAGAAUCUUCACAUCCAUGGAGAAUCCAUCCAAGCUCACAAGAUUUAAAAAUGGAGCACCGGAAGACACAGCAACCUCACAUCGGCGGCAUGUAAACAGAAUGUAUGACAAGGGCCUUCCUUGGACCCUCCUUGACAGGAAGCUGAAGAAACAUGCUCUCCAAAAUGUCAAGGCAUUCUCAUACACCCUGUCUCCCAAGUAGCCAUGUCCAUAUCAGUGUACAGCGAACUGUGGACCGGACUUGACCAUUCUCACUGAAUUGAUAUCAUGGAAACAAAAGUUUUGGAA